GACAGAGGGUGCGAACGUUGUUCGGAAUUACUGGGCGUAAAGCGCGUGUAGGCGGCAGCGCAAGUCGGGCGUGAAAUCCCACGGCUCAACCGUGGAAGUGCACUCGAAACUGCGCAGCUAGAGUCCUGGAGAGGAAGGUGGAAUGCUUGGUGUAGAGGUGAAAUUCGUAGAUAUCGAGAGGAACACCGGUGGCGAAGGCGGCCUUCUGGACAGCAUCUGACGCUGAGACGCGAAAGCGUGGGGAGCAAACAGG
rnacentral:rRNA from 1 species